GCCGGGCAUGGUGGCGCAUGCCUGUAAUCCUAGCUACUUGGGAGGCUGAGGUGGGAGAAUUGCUUGAACCUGGGAGGCGGAGGUUGCAGUGAGCCAAGAUCGCUCCAUUGCACUCCAGCCUGGGCAACAGAGCAAGACUCCAUCUCAA
rnacentral:SRP_RNA from 2 species